rnacentral:lncRNA from 1 species
UCUCAAACUCCUGGACUCAAGCAAGCCUCCUACCUCGGCCUCCUGAAGUGUUGGGAUUACAGGCAUGAGCCACGGUGCACAGCAAGAGCUUUAACCUUAAUGACCAUUCAUUCUCUACCCCACAUUACCUACAACUGAUACAGAUUGGGUUUUUCUGGUACCUCUACCUGGAAGGAGAUGAGAGGGCAGAUCUUUCAACAUAAUAAUUCCCCAAAGAUCUACAAGAACCUAUUCAUAUUAUUAAGAUUAACCCUGUGAAGUGGGCAUUAUAAUGAUCCACAAUUUCCAUGAGGGAGUUGAAGCCCAAUGGAGUUGAGCAACUUGCUGAAGGUCACACAGCUCGUAAGUCACAGAGCCAAGAUUCAAACCCAGACACUCAACUCCAGGAUCCACGUCUCUAUCUUUUUAAAGCCCAGUGACUCCACAAACCAGCUCAAAGCCACUCCGCUGGAUGAUGCCUAAGAUACCCUUCAGUCUUCAAGUGUGUCAGCCUAUGAGUAAUAGUCUGAUUGCCUGCUCCUGCAGAGGGCUGCUGCCAUGUCAUGAGCACUCUCAAGCAGCUCUAGCGAGGGGUCAUGUCAUGAGGAACUGAGACCUUCUGCCAAUAGCUGUGUGAAUGAGCCAUCAUGGAGGCAGGUCCUCCAGCCCCAGUCAAGCCUUCAGAUGAUGGCAGCCCCAGCUGAUGAUUUGACUGCAAACUCUCAUGCAACCAGGAAUAAGAACCACUCAGCAGAACCACUCCCAAUUUCCUGACCCACAGAAACUGUGAGAUAAAUAAAUAUUGCUUUAAGCUGCUGUGCUUAGG